rnacentral:lncRNA from 1 species
CCUCCCUGAGCCGCUGACCCCCCUCCCUGAGCCGCUGACCCCCUCCCUGAGCCGCUAGCCUGCUGACCCCCUCCCUGAGCCGCUAGCCCGCUGACCAUGCAGCUAUUGCUCCAGGCUACAAACAGCUGCCGCUCCGCUCGUCUCCCUGAAUUCAACACGGUACAUUCAUUCAUUUUAGAAAGAAGAACACACUAACAUUUUGACAAGUCAUUUUAAAUGUUUUUAAAUCUGCAACAACAGAACAUCUGAAAUGGGCAUCUGAAAUGGGUACACAACAGAACAUCUGAAAUGGGUACCCAACAGAACAUCUGAAAUGGGUACCCAACAGAACAUCUGAAAUGGGCAUCUGAAAUGGGUACACAACAGAACAUCUGAAAUGGGUACACAACAGAACAACAGAACAUCUGAAAUGGGUACACAACAGAACAACAGAACAUCUGAAAUGGGUACACGACAGAACAUCUGAAAUGGGUACCCAACAGAACAACAGAACAUCUGAAAUGGGUACCCAACAGAACAUCUGAAAUGGGUACACAACAGAACAUCUGAAAUGGGUACACAACAGAACAACAGAACAUCUGAAAUGGGUACACGACAGAACAUCUGAAAUGGGUACCCAACAGAACAACAGAACAUCUGAAAUGGGUACCCAACAGAACAUCUGAAAUGGGUACCCAACAGAACAUCUGAAAUGGGUACACAACAGAACAUCUGAAAUGGGUACCCAACAGAACAUCUGAAAUGGGUACCCAACAGAACAUCUGAAAUGGGUACCCAACAGAACAUCUGAAAUGGGCAUCUGAAAUGGGUACACAACAGAACAUCUGAAAUGGGUACACAACAGAACAACAGAACAUCUGAAAUGGGUACACGACAGAACAUCUGAAAUGGGUACCCAACAGAACAACAGAACAUCUGAAAUGGGUACCCAACAGAACAUCUGAAAUGGGUACACAACAGAACAUCUGAAAUGGGUACCCAACAGAACAUCUGAAAUGGGUACACAACAGAACAUCUGAAAUGGGUACCCAACAGAACAUCUGAAAUGGGUACCCAACAGAACAUCUGAAAUGGGUACCCGACAGAACAUCUGAAAUGGGUACCCAACAGAACAGAACAUCUGAAAUGGGUACACGACAGAACAUCUGAAAUGGGUACCCAACAGAACAGAACAUCUGAAAUGGGUACCCAACAGAACAUCUGAAAUGGGUACCCAACAGAACAGAACAUCUGAAAUGGGUACCCAACAGAACAGAACAUCUGAAAUGGGUACCCAACAGAACAUCUGAAAUGGGUACACAACAGAACAUCUGAAAUGGGUACCCAACAGAACAUCUGAAAUGGGUACACAACAGAACAUCUGAAAUGGGUACACAACAGAACAGUGUAGAUCCAAAAGCUGAACUCCAAAGGCACAUCUGACAAAGAUGCUGCUUGUCUUCUCUCCACUGUGAGCAGAUGGAAGGGUGCUCUGCUGACUGGCUGGCUGGCUGGCUGGCUGGCUGGCUGGCUGGCUGCAUGUUACAGAGCAUUAGACUGCUGAUUACUGCAGAUGGAAGGGUGCUCCACUGGCUGGCUGGCUGGCUGACUGGCUGGCUGGCUGCAUGUUACAGAGCAUUAUACUUCUGAUUACUGCAGAUGGAAGGGUGCUCUGCUGGCUGGCUGGCUGACUGGCUGGGGCAUUUUCAUAACUUCUGGUCAUUUCUUCAAAAGACAAAUGUUUUUACACAAUUACUUUGCAUUUACCUUGAAUUGCAGUACUGUAUAAUACCCAUUUAGUAUUGUGCACAUUGUAAGUUGCUUCAUUCAUCAUUGUUUUCAUACACAGAACUGAGGCAACUUCCAAAACUAGCAUUGUAUUUCUAGACAGAGAAUGGAUGGUAAAGACUCCUUGAACCCCCAGAGGAAAUAGUUUUUUUUUUGGAUUGUUAUACACUUGGUUAAUAUUCUGAUAUGCAGCAUGCGUUAAUCUACUUUAAUAUCAGGAUGGUAAAAGCUGUAAUACAAAGUGUUGUUUUUCUGAAUAGCAUCUGGGGCUAACGCUAGCCCAGUCAAUUCAAGUCGUUAUGUCUCCUAGCUUGGAAUUCAUUGUCCCCCUUCCCCAUUUUUUUUUUUAAAUUUCUAACCCGGGUACAAAUCAACCUCUAUUGGCCAGUCAAACCGCCUGGAAAAGUAGUCAUACAUUGUUAUGGGUGUUAUCUGUCUUUUUUUUUAUUUUAAUGGUUCUGCCAGCCUGGAGAAUGGACCUGGACGCAGCACACGGACCCAGAAGGGGAAUGCUUGAAAGAUAUCUUGUACAUUGGACCUAUGAAUCAAUGUUUUAAAAGCUAAAUAGUUCACAGCAUUUCAACAUUUACUUGCCAGUCAACUAAAGCUAAAACACUUCCAGAGAGAGAGAGAGAGGGAGAGAGAGAUACCUAGUAACAGUAGGUAGAGACGUGAUAUUAUACCGAGAGAACUUGAGAGAAAGAAAGAGGUGGGUUUUGGGUCCAUAACGCUCCCCAGUACGUUCAGCAGCUUCUGAGUCGUGUUGUCCAACGUUGCAUAGAUCCUGUCUGUUACGUCGGGACGCUUCGGCGUACGACAGGAAGGUGCACGCCAGAACGAAGGGGUCGAGUUCGAGAACAUCAUCAAAACAACGCGAUGUAAUCAUGGGUAAAUUAAGACUUGACCUACCAAAAUAAUAUUUAGUCUUUAUUUAUGACGGAAAGGUGAUUUUUCCAGUCUGGAUUCGUUUUUAAAGUCGGCUUGCGAUGUUGAUAGGCGUCUUACGACCGUCCCAUUAUGGCGCCUUAUUCCCUCCAUAGUGCACUAGGUAAAUAGGGGCCUAUUUGGGACGUGCUCCAGCAGGGCCAGACGAGGUCAGAUGUACUUGUUGGCCAGGUUCUGCACGUCGUUCUUACUGAAGGCAUCACUGUCCACGGCGGACAGACGGUCAAACAGUCGAGUCAUCUGAUCACGUUCACUCUUCUCCAGGAGCAUCACGACGACCUGUUAAUACACAGAGACAGAGGUUAACACGGCGUCAUGACGACCUGUUAAUACACAGAGACAGAGGUUAACACGGCGUCAUGACGACCUGUUAAUACACAGAGACAGAAGUUAACUACCAAACUGCUGUUUCCCAUGAUUGGUAUCAAUAAACAAUACAACAGAAGAGAGAAACACAGUGGUCAAAACAGCAGCCUCAG